rnacentral:rRNA from 1 species
AACGAACGCUGGCGGCGUGCUUAACACAUGCAAGUCGAACGGGAUUCAGAGCUUGCUCUGAUGAGAGUGGCGCACGGGUGAGUAACGCGUGGAUAACCUGCCCUGGUAUCUGGAAUAACAUCUCGAAAGGGGUGCUAAUACCGGAUAAGCUUACGAUUCCCUCGGGAGUUGUGAGAAAAGGUGGCCUCUAUUUAUAAGCUACCGUAUCAGGAUGGGUCCGCGUACCAUUAGCUAGUUGGUGGGGUAAUGGCCUACCAAGGCGACGAUGGUUAGCUGGUCUGAGAGGAUGAUCAGCCACACUGGAACUGAGACACGGUCCAGACUCCUACGGGAGGCAGCAGUGGGGAAUUUUGCGCAAUGGGGGAAACCCUGAUGCAGCAACGCCGCGUGAGUGAUGAAGGCUUUCGGGUCGUAAAGCUCUGUCAGUAGGGAAGAAGUGUAAUGGUGCUAAUACCACCUUUACUUGACGGUACCUACAAAGGAAGCACCGGCUAACUCCGUGCCAGCAGCCGCCGUAAAAC